rnacentral:tRNA from 1 species
GGGGUUGUGGCUCAGUGGUAGAGCACAGCCUAGCCUGUGUGAGGCACUGGGUUUGAUUCUCAGCACCACA